AUACUUCCAAAGAAAUAACCGCUAGGCAUGCCGCUUUAGGUGUGGACAUUCUUGAGGAGGUGGCAUUUGGAUGAUCUAAGUUUAAUAUGGAGAUUCAUCUGAAUCACCAAGCUUGUUUUUAAUGUAUUGAUUUCAUUGGUUUCCUGUGGACCUAAUUACCUGACUGAUUACGGCUAUUUAAUUAAUGUUAAAAUCCGGACUUUAA
rnacentral:lncRNA from 1 species